AGGAUGAACGCUGGCGGCGUGCUUAACACAUGCAAGUCGAACGGUGAAGCCCAGCUUGCUGGGUGGAUCAGUGGCGAACGGGUGAGUAACACGUGAGCAACCUGCCCUGGACUCUGGGAUAAGCGCUGGAAACGGCGUCUAAUACUGGAUAUGAGCUCUCAUCGCAUGGUGGGGGUUGGAAAGAUUUUUUGGUCUGGGAUGGGCUCGCGGCCUAUCAGCUUGUUGGUGAGGUAAUGGCUCACCAAGGCGUCGACGGGUAGCCGGCCUGAGAGGGUGACCGGCCACACUGGGACUGAGACACGGCCCAGACUCCUACGGGAGGCAGCAGUGGGGAAUAUUGCACAAUGGGCGGAAGCCUGAUGCAGCAACGCCGCGUGAGGGAUGACGGCCUUCGGGUUGUAAACCUCUUUUAGCAAGGAAGAAGCGAAAGUGACGGUACUUGCAGAAAAAGCGCCGGCUAACUACGUGCCAGCAGCCGCGGUAAUACGUAGGGCGCAAGCGUUAUCCGGAAUUAUUGGGCGUAAAGAGCUCGUAGGCGGUUUGUCGCGUCUGCUGUGAAAUCCCGAGGCUCAACCUCGGGCCUGCAGUGGGUACGGGCAGACUAGAGUGCGGUAGGGGAGAUUGGAAUUCCUGGUGUAGCGGUGGAAUGCGCAGAUAUCAGGAGGAACACCGAUGGCGAAGGCAGAUCUCUGGGCCGUAACUGACGCUGAGGAGCGAAAGGGUGGGGAGCAAACAGGCUUAGAUACCCUGGUAGUCCACCCCGUAAACGUUGGGAACU
rnacentral:rRNA from 1 species